rnacentral:rRNA from 1 species
AGCGAACGCUGGCGGCAUGCCUAGCACAUGCAAGUCGCACGGGGGGGCUUCGGCCUCCCAGUGGCGGACGGGUGAGGAACGCGUAGGGACCUGUCGAGGGGUGGGGGAUAACCGCGGGAAACUGCGGCUAAUACCGCAUGACGCCGCGGCGUGACAGCCGGGGCCAAAGGCGAAAGCCGCCCGCCGAGGGGCCUGCGUCCGAUUAGCUGGUUGGCGGGGUAGCGGCCCACCAAGGCGUCGAUCGGUAGCUGGUCUGAGAGGGUGAUCAGCCACACCGGGACUGAGACACGGCCCGGACUCCUACGGGAGGCAGCAGUGGGGAAUAUUGGACAAUGGGCGCAAGCCUGAUCCAGCAAUGCCGCGUGGGUGAAGAAGGUCUUCGGAUUGUAAAGCCCUUUCGGCGGGGACGAUGGUGACGGUACCCGCAGAAGAAGCCCCGGCUAACUUCGUG